AAAAGAGAGAAAAUAUUUCAUUCUUGUUUCCCUUCAUUUACUUGUCACAGUAAGUUGAGUUCACCAUUUGGUUUGUGUGGCGUAAAUACUGCUGCACAUCAUUCUUGAUAUUCUGGUACAACAUCUUACUGUCAUUUUCUAAUCGCAGGGGUGAAAUUUUACUGUAGAAAUUGUGGACAGGAAGGACAUAGGAGUAACUACUGUCCAGAAAUUCGAGACAAUACGGAUAGACAUUAUAGAUGUGGAUUAUGUGGAACAAAGGGUCAUAACAGAAGAACUUGCUUAAAGUUGAGCUUAAUUGUACCGAAAAAGACAGUUAAGGUUAAUCAUCAUUGCAGCAAGUGUCAAAGAAGU
rnacentral:misc_RNA from 1 species